AAUUAAGAGUUAAAACUUUGCUGAAACUUUUCGCCUAUUUACUUUUCAAAUUGAGCAUUACAUUUGUCAAAUAUCUGUCUUGUGAUUUAUGGACUGUCCAGCCGCUCACGAGGAGCAGCAAAGCUGAUAUGAGUCUCGUGCUGUCUCUAUACCAGAUGCUUCCGUGGUUACCAUAGUAACGGAGCUUGUUUGCAAUGUAGCGAAAGAGCUUGCAAAUAAACAAAAUAAAUAACAUUCUAUAUCUAUGACAUAUGCUCAGUUGUUACAUUUUACAUGACCUUCUAUAGGUCUCCAUACAUUGGGUAAACUUUCAGAAGUAAUACAAAUGCCGCGACCAAAGUAUUUCACUCCGAACGAGGUGUCCUUUCAUAACACCAUGCCUUGGCGACUUGUGGGUGUCAUACCUGGGCAAGGUGUACGACCUGACACUAUUGGUGAAUGACUUUAAACGUGAGUUGUCAGAUGCAUGCAUUUAUAAUAGGCUAUUAUUAGGCUACAAACAUUUAUUAAAUUACACAAUUAUUUUUCAGGGGAUGUACUUCUGAAACCUAUUAUUGACUGUGCAGGAAAUGACAUCAGUCAAUGGUUUGAAUUAAAGACAAKAUUUGGGGCGCUCUGUGCACGUGUCGUCUCCCUGCCCUAGUACUGACUGGACCAAUGACUUUGGGCAACCCUGGUGGAGGGAUACCCAAUAUGAGGUGGGACUAUUUUGCCAAGACCAGGUGGAUCCGCAUCAUCAACACCCUCACAUCCCAGGAGCAUAGGCUGGAGUGUGUUCCGAGGAGACCUUGAAUGAGAUUCCCCAGCGUUAACUUCGCAACAGCUCCCACGCCGCCAGCUCCACCUGGAAGCACAACUGCGUCAACCGGGACAUUAGUAAGACACUGGAGGAGAACGGUAUCCUCAACAAGGAUGAGGACUUCUACAGUGGACGCAUGGACUGCGACCUCUUCUCCCAGUCCAUCGGGUCUCUACUCAACGACAAUCCCACUGAACUUUGACCUCAUAUGUAAGGAUGUCAGAAAAUGGUGAUGAGCAAUAUGAGCAAUCUAUUAAAAGGUUGACUUACAAAAUACAUGUCCUUAAUUUAUUUUAUAUUGUGAUAUUGUUAUUAACAUUUUAUUACAGCGAAUUUGAGCKCGUAAAGGACUAGAACUCAUAACCUCACAAUCAACAUAAUUUCCUUGCCAUUCUAUCCCAGUGUCUUCCUUUUGUCAUUCCUUCAAACCUUCUUGCAUCUACAAUAGGCCAACAUACGUUAAUAAAUUAACAAUAGUCUGCCAAAACUGUACAUAAAACUGCAUGGUAACCAUGGUAAUUGUUUAUGUGAUWUUUAAUAGUAGGCUACUUCCUCUCAACAGCUCCUUUGUGGCUCUGCUGAGUUUUAAUUUCCUGUACUACAGAAUGUGCAGGAAACCAAAUCUACUGUAACAGUAGCAGUUUUAGCUAGUUGUGAAAAGCCAUGUUACACAUAUUUCUUUAAAUCAGUGACGUGUCAUUGUUAUCAAUGUCUAGUUUUUCAUCACAAUUAUUCAACACACACAUUUUUUACUGUAAAAUGUGCAUGCAGUGCCUUCAGAAAGUAUUCAUACUGUACCCCUUGACUUAUUCCACAUUUUGUUGUGUUACAGCCUGAAUUAAAUUUUGAUUGAAUUCAUGUGUUUUUCACCAAUCUACACACAA